GACGAACGCUGGCGGCGUGCUUAACACAUGCAAGUCGAAAGGAAAGGCCCCGCUUUUGUGGGGUGCUCGAGUGGCGAACGGGUGAGUAACACGUGAGUAACCUGCCCUUGACUUUGCGAGAACUUCAGGAAACUGGGGCUAAUACCCGAUAGGAGCUCCUGCUGCAUGGUGGGGGACGGAAAGUUUCGGCGGUUGGGGAUGGACUCGCGGCUUAUCAGCUUGUUGGUGGGGUAGUGGCUUACCAAGGCUUUGACGGGUAGCCGGCCUGAGAGGGUGACCGGCCACAUUGGGACUGAGAUACGGCACAGACUCCUACGGGAGGCAGCAGUGGGGAAUAUUGCACAAUGGGCGGAAGCCUGAUGCAGCAUCGCCGCGUGCGGGAUGACGGCCUUCGGGUUGUAAACCGCUUUCGCCUGUGACGAAGCGUGAGUGACGGUAAUGGGUAAAGAAGCACCGGCUAACUACGUGCCAGCCGCCGCCGUAA
rnacentral:rRNA from 1 species